rnacentral:rRNA from 1 species
UACGAAGGGGGCUAGCGUUGCUCGGAAUCACUGGGCGUAAAGGGUGCGUAGGCGGGUCUUUAAGUCAGGGGUGAAAUCCUGGAGCUCAACUCCAGAACUGCCUUUGAUACUGAAGAUCUUGAGUUCGGGAGAGGUGAGUGGAACUGCGAGUGUAGAGGUGAAAUUCGUAGAUAUUGGGAAGAACACCGGUGGCGAAGGCGGCUCACUGGCUCGUUUCUGACGCUCAGGCGCGACAGCGUGGGGAUCAAACAGG